rnacentral:rRNA from 1 species
AGCGAACGCUGGCGGCAGGCCUAACACAUGCAAGUCGAACGGGCACCUUCGGGUGUCAGUGGCAGACGGGUGAGUAACACGUGGGAACGUGCCCUUUGGUUCGGGACAACUCCGGGAAACUGGAGCUAAUACCGGAUAAGCCCUUUUGGGGAAAGAUUUAUCGCCAAAGGAUCGGCCCGCGUCUGAUUAGCUAGUUGGUGAGGUAACGGCUCACCAAGGCGACGAUCAGUAGCUGGUCUGAGAGGAUGAUCAGCCACACUGGGACUGAGACACGGCCCAGACUCCUACGGGAGGCAGCAGUGGGGAAUAUUGGACAAUGGGCGCAAGCCUGAUCCAGCCAUGCCGCGUGAGUGAUGAAGGCCCUAGGGUUGUAAAGCUCUUUCGCCGACGAAGAUAAUGACGGUAGUCGGAGAAGAAGCCCCGGCUAACUUCGUGCCAGCCGCCGCCGUAAUAC